CGACAGUCCGGACCGGCGAAAUUCUGCGAGGCUUUUCCUCGGCAAAGGAGCACUGAAAGAAGGGAAGAAGAAAAAGAACAACGUCCAUCAUGAUGUUCACGAUGAGGAUGAUGAGAUGAAAACACACUCUCUGCAUGAGCAGAUCGGGGCACCUGAAUGAUGAUGAACUGUAGAGAAGAUCCUGGAAAGACCUAAUGUUCGCUCUGGAUUCACUCCAAUUUCACUCCAGAUUCACACAGUGUUUACACUGGAUUUGCUACGGGUUUACUUAGUCUUCACUCCGGAUUUUGCUCCAUGUUUACACAGGGUUCACUCUGUUCUCACCAUAAUCACAAAGGAUGCACUCCAGGUUCAGUCCGGAUUCACACCAGGUUCACUCCUGGUUCAUGUUCAGUCUGGGUUCACACUGGGUUUUGCCCUGUGUUUACAAAGGGUUCACUCUGGGUUUACUCUGGAUUCUCACCAUAAUCACACAGGAUUCACAGCAGGUUCACUCCUGGUUUACACCGGGUUUACUUCAGGUUCAUACUGCAUUUGUUUCGGAUUAACACCAGGUUCACCCAUGAUCAGUCUGGAUUCACACUCGAGUUUACACCAGGUUCAUAAUGGGUUCGCUUCCACUUUACUUCAAGUUCACACCAGCUUUAAUGAGACUUCCUACACCAUUUACACAGAAAUUCUAAUGGUUUCCAUUAAAAAUCCAAUUAUUAAUGAGUGGUUUCCAUGAUAAAUUCCAGAAUAAAAUCCA